rnacentral:rRNA from 1 species
CAACUUUUGGCAACGGAUCUCUUGGCUCUCGCAACGAUGAAGAACGCAGCGAAAUGCGAUAAGUAGUGUGAAUUGCAGAAUUCAGUGAAUCAUCGAAUCUUUGAACGCACAUUGCGCUUCCUGGUAUUCCGGGGAGCAUGCCCGUUUCAGAAUCAUUAAAAUCUCACCGC